UUACCUCAGUAACGGCGAGUGAAGCGGUAACAGCUCAAAUUUGAAAUCUGGCUCUUUUAGGGUCCGAGUUGUAAUUUGUAGACGAUGCUUUGGGUGUGGUGCCGGUCUAAGUUCCUUGGAACAGGACGUCAUAGAGGGUGAGAAUCCCGUAUGUGAUCGGUCGCCUUCGCCCGUGUAAAGCUCGUUCGACGAGUCGAGUUGUUUGGGAAUGCAGCUCAAAAUGGGUGGUAAAUUUCAUCUAAAGCUAAAUAUUGGCCAGAGACCGAUAGCGCACAAGUAGAGUGAUCGAAAGAUGAAAAGCACUUUGGAAAGAGAGUUAAACAGUACGUGAAAUUGUUGAAAGGGAAGCGCUUGCAACCAGACUUGGGCUGUCGCAAUCAUCCGGGGCUCGCCCCGGUGCACUUGUGGCGGCACAGGCCAGCAUCAGUUUCGGUGGUGGGAUAAAGGCCUUGGGAAUGUAGCUUCUUUCGGGGAGUGUUAUAGCCCUCGGUGCAAUGCCGCCUACCGGGACUGAGGACCGCGCUUCGGCGAGGAUGCUGGCGUAAUGGUUGUAAGCGACCCGUCUUGAAACACGGACCAAGGAGUCUAACAUCUAUGCGAGUGUUUGGGUGUCAAACCCAUACGCGUAAUGAAAGUGAACGGAGGUGAGAACCCAUUAGGGUGCAUCAUCGACCGAUCCUGAUGUCUUCGGAUGGAUUUGAGUAAGAGCAUAGCUGUUGGGACCCGAAAGAUGGUGAACUAUGCCUAAAUAGGGUGAAGCCAGAGGAAACUCUGGUGGAGGCUCGCAGCGGUUCUGACGUGCAAAUCGAUCGUCAAAUUUGGGUAUAGGGGGCGAAAGACUAAUCGAACCAUCUAGUAGCUGGGUCUUGCGGAGG
rnacentral:rRNA from 1 species